rnacentral:rRNA from 2 species
AAUCCCGUGAACCAUCGAGUCUUUGAACGCAAGUUGCGCCCCAAGCCUUCUGGCCGAGGGCACGUCUGCCUGGGUGUCACAAAUCGUCGUCCCCAUCCUUUGCGGAUAAGGGACGGAAGUUGGUCUCCCGUGUGUUACCGCACGCGGUUGGCCUAAAUAUGAG